CCGUGUACCUUCCCAUUGCAUCUUAAAGUAACACACGUACCAAAGGGGAAAAAACACCACCCCACAGCAGCCCCUAAGUCUGAAAUGUAAAUGUAAUUCCUUAUAUAGACUGCAGCAGCUGGUCACACACGCACGGAGAGCGGAGCGGGGGCCCCCGGCCAAACCGUUACCACCCAUUAUUAUACAAACAGUGCUCGCCCGGAACCUUGUUGCCACGGGAGACGGGCGCUUUACGGCAGCGCAUUUGAACGGCGGCGGGGGAAAAGUUGCGGCCGCAGGAUUGAGCGAGAAGGAAACAGCUGGAGCACAGUGACGCCGUUCCCACCGUACGUGAAAAAUGCCGCACUCGGGCUUUCCUUAGUCAUACUUCCCGGUUUUACGAAGAGGAGGAGAGGUAUAAAAUUCUGUGCCGUAAAAAAUAAAGAGAAGAGAGCAAUCUUUCAGGGAUAGUUAAUAAGCAACAUCUGUUGUGCUUAAUGAAUUUAUUUAAUGUAUUAAAAAUUAAAACCAUCAAACACUUGUACUAUUUAUUUACUCUUGCUUUUCACUU